AACCUUAUGGACCUGCGGGCGUAUACCUGCGGAAGGAUCAUUACUGAGUCACGUGCUCAAACAACCCUUCUGUGGACCUGAAAUAAAACCGUUGCCUCGGCGGGCGGUCCCCCCCAAACCAACCCCACGUGGUGGGUUAGGGGAGACCAGACAGUCCGGUACGCUUAAGGCGUCCGGCGCCAGCCGCUGGCCCCAAACAAUUAAACUCUAGUAAUCUUUACCUCCUGAAUUUCAAUAUUU
rnacentral:misc_RNA from 1 species